GACGAACGCUGGCGGCGUGCUUAACACAUGCAAGUCGAACGGAAAGGCCCUGCUUUUGUGGGGUGCUCGAGUGGCGAACGGGUGAGUAACACGUGAGUAACCUGCCCUUGACUUUGGGAUAACUUCAGGAAACUGGGGCUAAUACCGGAUAGGAGCUCCUGCUGCAUGGUGGGGGUUGGAAAGUUUCGGCGGUUGGGGAUGGACUCGCGGCUUAUCAGCUUGUUGGUGGGGUAGUGGCUUACCAAGGCUUUGACGGGUAGCCGGCCUGAGAGGGUGACCGGCCACAUUGGGACUGAGAUACGGGCCCAAAUCCUACGGGAGGCAGGAGGGGGGAAUAUUGCACAAUGGGCGGAAGCCUGAUGCAGCAACGCCGCGUGCGGGAUGACGGCCUUCGGGUUGUAAACCGCUUUCGCCUGUGACGAAGCGUGAGUGACGGUAAUGGGUAAAGAAGCACCGGCUAACUACGUG
rnacentral:rRNA from 1 species